rnacentral:rRNA from 1 species
AUUGAACGCUGGCGGCAGGCCUAACACAUGCAAGUCGAACGGUAACAGGAAGAAGCUUGCUUCUUUGCUGACGAGUGGCGGACGGGUGAGUAAUGUCUGGGAAACUGCCUGAUGGAGGGGGAAAACUACUGGAAACGGUAGCUAAUACCGCAUAACGUCGCAAGACCAAAGAGGGGGACCUUCGGGCCUCUUGCCAUCGGAUGUGCCCAGAUGGGAUUAGCUAGUAGGUGGGGUAACGGCUCACCUAGGCGACGAUCCCUAGCUGGUCUGAGAGGAUGACCAGCCACACUGGAACUGAGACACGGUCCAGACUCCUACGGGAGGCAGCAGUGGGGAAUAUUGCACAAUGGGCGCAAGCCUGAUGCAGCCAUGCCGCGUGUAUGAAGAAGGCCUUCGGGUUGUAAAGUACUUUCAGCGGGGAGGAAGGGAGUAAAGUUAAUACCUUUGCUCAUUGACGUUACCCGCAGAAGAAGCACCGGCUAACUCCGUG